rfam:Trachymyrmex septentrionalis contig26626, whole genome shotgun sequence.
CAACAGAUUCUUUUUAGAACCAUUUAAAAAAAAAAAAAGAUUUACU